rnacentral:rRNA from 1 species
CCUACGGGGGGCAGCAGUGAGGAAUAUUGGUCAAUGGGCGAGAGCCUGAACCAGCCAAGUCGCGUGAAGGAUGAAGGAUCUAUGGUUUGUAAACUUCUUUUAUAUGGGAAUAAAGUGAGGAACGUGUUCCUUUUUGUAUGUACCAUAUGAAUAAGGAUCGGCUAACUCCGUGCCAGCAGCCGCGGUAAUACGGAGGAUCCGAGCGUUAUCCGGAUUUAUUGGGUUUAAAGGGAGCGUAGAUGGGUUGUUAAGUCAGUGGUGAAAUUUUGCGGCUCAACCGUAAAAUUGCAAUUGAUACUGGUAGCCUUGAGUAUAGUUGAGGUAGGCGGAAUUCGUGGUGUAGCGGUGAAAUGCUUAGAGAUCACGAAGAACACCGAUUGCGAAGGCAGCAUGCCGGCUUCCGACUGACGCUGAAGCACGAAAGCGUGGGGAUCGAACAGGAUUAGAUACCCCAGUAGUC